UACCAGGCCAUGAACUCACACAACCUGCAGACUUUUCUUCAGACUCAUCUCUUUAUUUUAUUGGACUGGAUUUCCCACGAUUCAAAAUGCCACCAGUAAAGAUAAAUGUUCUUUACAGUGUGCAAGAUGUGAUUGAUGCCAUCACAAAUGGAGACAGUGAUUUUGCGAUGGAUUCAGACAAUGAAACCAGUGACGAAGAGGCAGAUUAACAUGCAAAGUGGACAAAGAAAAUCUACAGCCCACUGACUGCCCAGCUAACCAUUAUAUGAACAUUGAGCCCCAAACUACCAAACACAAAAUGCCCGGUGACCAGUACCAUUGGCUAAAAAAGGAUUUCUUUAGUCUCAAUACUGAUUUAUCUGGUCCAGAUAUCACCACUAAUGUAAUUUCUCUCCACACACCACUAGAGUACUUCAAGAAGUGUGUGUCCGAUUAUAUAGAAUAGAUAUACCAACACCCUACGCAGCAAGUGUAAUGUUCAUCUUUGCUUUCAGAGGAAAUGAACUGUUUCUGGGACUACUGCUGCAAAUGUACCAAGCUGAACACUGGGACACUAGGACUUUGAAUGCUCAGAGGGGGUUUUGUAAAUACAGUAUUAUCUUCGUUUUUAAAUUAAUAAAUGACUUCAUAAAAAAA